rnacentral:lncRNA from 1 species
AUAAAUUCCUCUCUGAACGUUUCUUCAACAUUUCGCUUUCUGUCGGAUGACCUGCUCAGGUACUCCAUCUGUUCUUUACUGUUUUCUAUUUCUAUAGAGCCUUUAAAUCUGUCUCUCAACCUUUCCUGAAGAUUUAUGUUUCUCUCGGACAACCUGCGUAGGUACUUCUUCAUGGUUUAAGUAAAAUUUACAUGUUUCUUCCAUCCUUUGCUGUUUCUCCCAUUUCUAAUUUGUGUUCUGUUUUGCUCUUUCUCUGAUUGUUAAAUUCGCGCCUGUACACUAUAUUAAGCCAUAUUACACUGUAUGCAUGUACUGCAAACUUCUGAUGAAUAAUUGCAUGUAUUGGUCUAUUACACUGUGUUCACCAUCAAACCACACCCUUUCAAUGCUUCAAACAUUCUGCUUACAAUGCUUUUUCCAUUUGUCUUUCCGCUAUUGUUUACGCUUUCAAACUCUUCUAUUUUGUGAUGGUUUUUCCCUUUUUCGAUCUGAAGCUCUGUAAAUCUAUUUCAUGUUAAUGUUAGAUUUAAUCCUAUUGCCCGUUCGUAAACUCAUCAAAUUUUUGCAGCAAAUCUUUUUUUCCCGCUUUGUCUCAAUGGGCUUACAUGGAUAUUCCCGCAUUCAUCUCAACCUUAGUUUUCCUGCUUAAACGUUUUCUCAUUUCUGACAUAUGGUCUAUCCUCACGUGUUCGGUAUUCACAGGUUUUAUAUGACUUCGCUUUCAUUUCCCUCAAUACUUGUCCACACAAAUUCAUUGCCAAAAGGAAAGAAAAUAUUCCCUGUAAUAUAAUUACUCAUUCAUUUCUUGUGUUCCGUAUGUAGUUGUAGCUUAUUUCAUAUUCACUUUGCCACAAUUCAAUAUUCCUAAAUACUCACUUUGUUUCGCAGGAAAUUCUCUCCAACUCAAACAUACAAAUACCACUGAUACAGAACACCCUGCACAGUCUGCAGCAGCCUCUUCGUUAUCCCAACCUUAGAGGGAUUCUUUCAACUGUUGACGCACACUGUAUAUAGGAGCUACCCAGUCGACAACAUUCCCAGGCAUCCCUCACUUGCUCACAGGUACCUUAUAUGCUUUCUCACAUGAACCAAUUUAUUGGAUAUUUUUCUCCAUAUAUUUGUUUAUUACUCCUAUUUUUCACAAAGGAUCAUAGAACUCACCAAAAAUAACAAACUCUAAUCACAAUAAGAUAUUGAGAUACAAAAUUUUAACAAUUGCGAGAAGAGCUUUUGAUGAAGUCUAUAUCUUCAUGACUUUAAAGCUUGUGUUUGCCUCAUUAUCACAUCAAAAAAUGUAUGCAAUUUGUUCUGCAAAUGCAAAUGAAAUGUACAGGUAAAAAUUAGAAAGAAAUCAGUGGUAGGAAGAGGAAGAAUACAACAUUUGCCUCUACAGCUGCUUUGCUAAGAAAUAAGCGCAAUACACCUGCUUAUACAAAAGCAAAAGUGAUUUAAUGGCCAAUCAAAUUAAUCUUUCAUAUAAUUUAAUUCAUGAGUCCUUUCGUUUGUUCCAUAUGUUGUUCUAACUUAUUUCCUAUUGCAAUUGUUCAAAUUCAAUAUUCCUAAAUAGUAACUCUAUUUCACAGGAGAUUGCCCACAGCUAAAACAUAGAAAUAACGCUGAUACAGAACAGUGUGCAGGCUGUGCAUCUGACUCUUCAUUAUGACCACCUUAGAGGGAUUGCUUCCACUCCUCACGCAAACCGUAUAUACCGGCUAGCCAGUCCACAAGAUUGACACACAUCCCACACGUUCUCACAGGUACGUUAUGUGCUUUUUCUCAUAAUGUACACAAUUUCAGAUACCAGUGAUAUACAAUGGCCUGCACCGUAUGCAGCAGCAUCUUCAUUACCGUCACCUUAGAGCGAUUGCUUCAACUGCCAACACAAAUCGUAUAUACAGCCUGUGUUCUUGGCUCUUUUCUGUUUGUCUACAUCUCUCUCAAGCUUUGGUGAAGGUUUCUGUUUAUCUCCGACGAACUGCGCAGGUUCUUCAUCGUCGUUUAACCGGAAUUUCAAUGUCCACUCCAUCUCUUCUUUACUGUUUUCUCUUUCUCUACAGACUUUAAAUCUGUCGCUGAAGCUUUGCUGAAGAUUUCUGUUUCUCUCCUACGAGCUGCGCAGGUACUUCUUCAUCGUUUAAGCGACCCUAAUUUCUCUCCCUCUGAACUCUAAGUUCUACCUCUGAACUCUUCAAUGGCGAAUCCAUCUGUUCUUUACUGUUUUCGGUUUGUCUGCAGCCUAUAAAUUCCUCUCUGAACGUUUCUUCAACAUUUCGCUUUCUGUCGGAUGACCUGCUCAGGUACUCCAUCUGUUCUUUACUGUUUUCUAUUUCUAUAGAGCCUUUAAAUCUGUCUCUCAACCUUUCCUGAAGAUUUAUGUUUCUCUCGGACAACCUGCGUAGGUACUUCUUCAUGGUUUAAGUAAAAUUUACAUGUUUCUUCCAUCCUUUGCUUACACUCACAUAGUACGCAAAAAACUACAUAAGAAAAAGAAACACUAUAAUACAAAAUACAACUUUCAUCCUUUACUUUAGUUUUGUUUCCGAAUGUCAAUUCAAAGGAGAAAGCAUUGUUUAGUUGCUGUUUCUUUUGUUACUUCCUAUGUCCUGUAUUCCUACACAAGGACAGAAAAUUUCUACAAACUUGCCAAACUUUUGUACUAUCUUCAAAAUCCAAACUAACAAAAUUUAUUGUCUUUUCCCACAGAUUUUCUACAACGUAUUCGUUUGUGUGUGAAUCAUACAAAAGGUCAUCAUUUGUUUCUGCUACAUGUUUGCUGUUUAUAUAUUUACCCCCACCAAAUAUAUUUGAAAGCUGUAUCCUUCCUUUGCAUCUAAUUUUUGCAGCAAAUCUUUUUUUCCCGCUUUGUCUCAAUGGGCUUACAUGGAUAUUCCCGCAUUCAUCUCAACCUUAGUUUUCCUGCUUAAACGUUUUCUCAUUUCUGACAUAUGGUCUAUCCUCACGUGUUCGGUAUUCACAGGUUUUAUAUGACUUCGCUUUCAUUUCCCUCAAUACUUGUCCACACAAAUUCAUUGCCAAAAGGAAAGAAAAUAUUCCCUGUAAUAUAAUUACUCAUUCAUUUCUUGUGUUCCGUAUGUAGUUGUAGCUUAUUUCAUAUUCACUUUGCCACAAUUCAAUAUUCCUAAAUACUCACUUUGUUUCGCAGGAAAUUCUCUCCAACUCAAACAUACAAAUACCACUGAUACAGAACACCCUGCACAGUCUGCAGCAGCCUCUUCGUUAUCCCAACCUUAGAGGGAUUCUUUCAACUGUUGACGCACACUGUAUAUAGGAGCUACCCAGUCGACAACAUUCCCAGGCAUCCCUCACUUGCUCACAGGUACCUUAUAUGCUUUCUCACAUGAACCAAUUUAUUGGAUAUUUUUCUCCAUAUAUUUGUUUAUUACUCCUAUUUUUCACAAAGGAUCAUAGAACUCACCAA